UACAGAAAAUGCUUCACACGACACAUCUCAUACGACGGUAGACUGUUUUCCGUGGUGUGAAUCAUUUCUCAUUAUUGAGACGACGGUUGUAAAAUUUCCGUCUUCUAAUAUGAAUUCAACCAACGGGUGUUUUUAAUGCUGAAAUUGUAUAUUGUUUCAGAAGACGUUUAUAAAUGGAAGCGUGGUGUGAGUUUAAAAUGGUUUUAGGGGUAGCAAGUUUCCCACCACUUAAAUUUUCUUAGCAUGUAGUGGCGAUACAACAGUUAGUUUAAAACCGUGGUAUGAAUCCAUAGAUUUGCAAGUGCAACCAUGUCCACCGACAUUCCCUCCAACAUUUCCCGCAUUCUCUCCCCCAAAAUUCGAUUCCCUCUCAGCAGGCAACAAGAGGCGGCAAAACUGAAAAUUUUUAAGUGACAUUCAGACAACAGAUAUAUGGAAAACCAUGGUCUGAUGCCUGCAUGAUAAAAUUAAUGGCUUAUGUGGCUAUGUGUCCUAGCGCUGGACAACUACACAAUAGCAUCUAUUCAUACCAAACUAUUAGAACACUUUAGAAAAGACCAAACUAAUGCCCACAGCUAUACCCCGACACGGCAUUUCUCCACACAGCUGACCCCGACUCUCUCUCUGACUCUCUCGCUCUUCAACUCCACAGCUGACCCCGACUCUCGCUCUUCGACUCCACAGCUGACCCCGACUCUCUCUCUGACUCUCUCGCUCUUCGACUCUCACUCUGGCUCACUCCACAGCUACCCCGACUCACUCCACAAUCCUAAACCCUAAAUCCACCGCCUGCAAGGUGAAGCCUUCGAAGCCCCAAAUCGGAGAUUUCUCUUAGAAUCCGAUUGGGAUCUUAUUUUGACGUGGAUUCACAUCGGAGCAGCCUUAGACUUGGAUUCACACCGGAGCCCUAAACAAUUUCGUCAUCUUGAACUUCGAUUCACACCUUUGAUUCGAUUUGUCUCGAACCUGCUCAAGCUCCUCCUCCAACUCCAGCUCUCUCCGAAGCCUCGACGACUCCGACGACUUUGAAGAUGACCUUAAUUGAUUCGAGCAAGGUGAAGAGUGAUACAUCAGCUUUGGAAGCUAGAAAUGGAAAAGACAUACAGGGAGUGAUACAUCAGCUUUUCAUUAUGACGAGAUUAAGAACAAGGAAGGUCUUGGUGAACAAUGAGAAUGAGUAUCUUCAAAAGAUGAAUGCAAAUUCUGGCCUAUUGUAGUCCAAAGACAAGCUGAAAGAAUGAGGUACAUGUUUUGAUUGUUGUUAUUUCUAUCUCUGCUACUGGUUUAUGUUUCUUUGUAAUGCAUUGAACUUUAAUCUUCUUGUAUAUACAAAUAUAUAUAUAUAUAUGCAUACUUGUAUGAGUAUCUUUUGAGCUAUAGUCUUAUGCGUUCACACUUCUGUGUUCAUAGAACUGCUGAUUUAAUAGCCUUGUGGUCUAUAUUUUUGAUCAGGCAGAAAUGUGGUUCAGCAAACUUUGCUUUAAGUUGGAUUCUCUUUCUCAUUUCCACUUCAGUCCAAAACCUGUUCUUAAUCAUAAGUUUUAUCUAUGUUUACGAAAGUUAAUUUCUCUCUUUGGUAUUUACUUGUUAUCUGCUAUCUAUGGGAUUGGUUACUGAGGAAAGGCAGCAAUUGCUAAUCUCCAUCACUUUCAUAUAUUGUGGUCCAGCAAGCCUAAAGCUUCAGGGCUUCAUUCUUGUGCACAAAGGCAGCAGCUGCUAAUCUCCCCCGCUUCCAUAGACUCUAGUUUAGCUAGCCCAAAGCAGCCUAUAUAUAUAUUUUGUUGGUUUUUUUUAAAAAAAAAACUGAAAAAACUUUCAUGGCGUUUUGUAAACGUCAUUAAAUUUAAUUCAAUGGCAUUUCUGAAACGUCAUUGAAAAUAUUUUAAUGACGUUUAAUAAUGGCAUCAAGCUGGGAUGUUUCCACUGGAUCCUUUCUGGUAGAUGUGUGAAGGCUGCCCUUCAGCCAUUUCUUUUGGUCACUGACUGUUACUACUUACUUCUGUAACUGGUCCUUGUGUUUUGCUUUUGCUUGUAAUUAUAUUGUUUCUGCCGUCUCUUAAAUAUAAUUAUAUUGCUCUGUUUAUUUCAGCUUUUAAGCAGGGUGGAGUUAGAGCUACUGGUGUGACUUUGGUUAUAUGGUAUG